UUUUCAAGCCUUAUUUCUUGAAACUCAAAGCACUUCAUCAUACUCUUUCGCAGAUAUUUAACAUCGUUCACAGGUUCAUCAUCACAUAAAGAACAUGCAUGACCAUUUUUGAACAUAAUACUAACGAUUCAACACUCAAAACAUCACAUAAGAGUCUUACAUAAGUCUAAAAAGAAUUUCAUUACAUAAGAUAACCAAACCACAUAAAGAACAUAAAACCAUAUCCUAUCAUAGCUUUUAAUCAUUUCUUCAUUCAUUUAAUUCUCAUCACUUCUUCUUCCAUCUUUUCAAGCCUUAUUUCUUAAAACUCAAAGCACUUCAUCAUACUCUUUCGCAGAUAUUUAACAUCGUUCACAGGUUCCACAUAAAAAAUAAAAAAAUAAAAAAAUAAAUAAAUAAAUAAAUAAAAUAAAUAAAUAAAAAUGUAAAUUCUUUUUGAAAAACGAAUU
rnacentral:lncRNA from 1 species